GUCUUUGUAGUAUAAUCAUUACCUUGG
rnacentral:tRNA from 1 species